GGGCCCGUGGUCUAGUCCGGUAUGACAUCACCUCGACAUGGUGGGAGUCGCCAGUUCAAAUCUGGCCGGGCCCA
rnacentral:tRNA from 1 species